CCUACGGGUGGCAGCAGUGAGGAAUAUUGGUCAAUGGACGCAAGUCUGAACCAGCCAUGCCGCGUGCAGGAAGACGGCUCUAUGAGUUGUAAACUGCUUUUGUACGAGGGUAAACGCAGAUACGCGUAUCUGUCUGAAAGUAUCGUACGAAUAAGGAUCGGCUAACUCCGUGCCAGCAGCCGCGGUAAUACGGAGGAUUCAAGCGUUAUCCGGAUUUAUUGGGUUUAAAGGGUGCGUAGGCGGUCGGAUAAGUUAGAGGUGAAAUCCCGAGGCUCAACUUCGGAAUUGCCUCGGAUACUGUUCGGCGAGAGAGUAGUUGCGGUAGGCGGAAUGUAUGGUGUAGCGGUGAAAUGCUUAGAGAUCAUACAGAACACCGAUUGCGAAGGCAGCUUACCAAGCUACUUCUGACGUUGAGGCACGAAAGCGUGGGGAGCAAACAGGAUUAGAUACCCGAGUAGUC
rnacentral:rRNA from 1 species